rnacentral:rRNA from 1 species
AGAACGAACGCUGGCGGCAUGCCUAAUACAUGCAAGUCGAACGAACACUUCGGUGUUAGUGGCGCACGGGUGCGUAACGCGUGGGAAUCUGCCCUUGGGUUCGGAAUAACAGUUGGAAACGACUGCGUAAUACCGGAUGAUAAUCGAAAGAUCAAAGAUUUAUCGCCCAGGGAUGAGCCCGCGUAGGAUUAGCUAGUUGGUGAGGUAAUGGCUCACCAAGGGCCGACGAUCCGUAACUGGUCUGAGAGGAUGAUCAGUCACACUGGAACUGAGACACGGUCCAGACUCCUACGGGAGGCAGCAGUGGGGGAAUAGUUGGACAAGUCGGGCGAAAGCCCUAGGACUCCAGCCAGUGGCCGCGUGUGUGAAGGAAGUCUUCGGAUUGAAGCUAUUAGUGGAGAGGUUGACUUAUACGUG